AGAGUUUGAUCAUGGCUCAGGACGAACGCUGGCGGCGUGCUUAACACAUGCAAGUCGAACGAGGUCCAUCCGGUGGCAACACUGGAGAAGACUUAGUGGCGAACGGGUGAGUAACACGUGAGGAACCUGCCCCGAAGACCGGGAUAACAGCGGGAAACCGCUGCUAAUACCGGAUACCCCCAUCGGACCACAUGGCCUGAUGAGGAAAUGGAUUCCGCUUCGGGAGGGCCUCGCGGCCUAUCAGCUUGUUGGUGGGGUAACGGCCUACCAAGGCGACGACGGGUAGCUGGUCUGAGAGGACGAUCAGCCACACUGGGACUGAGACACGGCCCAGACUCCUACGGGAGGCAGCAGUGGGGAAUCUUGCGCAAUGGGCGAAAGCCUGACGCAGCAACGCCGCGUGAGGGAUGAAGGCCUUCGGGUUGUAAACCUCUUUCGAGCAGGGACGAUAAUGACGGUACCUGCAGAAGAAGCUCCGGCCAACUACGUGCCAGCAGCCGCGGUAAUACGUAGGGAGCAAGCGUUGUCCGGAUUCAUUGGGCGUAAAGAGCUCGUAGGCGGCUUGAUAAGUCGGAUGUGAAACCUCCAGGCUCAACCUGGAGUCGCCAUCCGAUACUGUCAUGGCUAGAGUCCGGUAGGGGCCCACGGAACUCCUGGUGUAGCGGUGAAAUGCGCAGAUAUCAGGAAGAACACCGAUGGCGAAGGCAGUGGGCUGGGCCGGUACUGACGCUGAGGAGCGAAAGCGUGGGGAGCGAACAGGAUUAGAUACCCUAGUAGUCC
rnacentral:rRNA from 1 species